AGAACGCACCCCUGUUGGACAUCCAAACGAUGGCUGCCGAAACCUUAUCUUGGAAAUAAUAUAGUAGAAAUAUGACAUAAACAUUUUUUUACAAACACAUUUAAAAAAAAAACCUUAGACGCCAAUUAUAUUAUAUUUUAUUCAUAUUGUAUUACUUGUAAUGCUUAUUAGGGGAUAACCUCACUCAAGAACAUGAAGAGAAAAUUUAUUUUCAAAAUUUCAUCAAUUAUUGGCUUCAAGGUGGGACUCCGUUGAUGCCAGUAGAAUAUUGUAAGAGUGAACAAGAAAGACUCGAGAAAAGUGGGUACAAACAUUAUGAAUAAUACAUAAAAAAAUAUAAAUUUUUUAUUAUAUACUUGUCAUGUACAUUAAAUAAAUGAUGAUGGUAAAAU